AGGUAACGCGCCUGCUUUGCUGAGAAUUCUGUGUCGAACCAGAGGAGAUGCCGGAGGUGAAGUCGAUGUUCCGGGAGGUGCUGCCCAAACAAGCUGUGUGUGGAAGACGUUCCCACCAUGGUGCUGUGCAAGCCCAAAAUCCUGCCGCUCAAAUCCGUCACCCUUGAAAAACUGGAGAAG